rnacentral:lncRNA from 1 species
AAUGCUCUACUCAACCCUAUCAUAAGCGUUUUCCAUAUCAAGUUGGAUCACUACCCUAGGCAACCCGCUUUUAAUUUGAGAGUGGGUGCAUUCUUAUGCAACAAGGACACUGUCAGAAACAGCCUAUCCUUGAUGAAGGCCGAUUGAGGACCAGAGAUAAUGAAUGGAAGAACCACCGUCAGCCGUUCAGCCAAAAUCUUUGCCACAAUUUUGUACAGGCUAGUCAACAAACU